CUCUGAAACUGGAAAAAAAUGCAGACAAAUUUUCUAAAAUCUCCAAAUCUGUCAAGUUACUCUUCUUUUAGGUUUAUUAAAAAAUCGCCAAAUUCGAAAAAUUUAUUUUACAAAAAUAUCAGUGAAAUUAAACUGAAGAAUUUUAUAGAGAAGCAAUAAAAACAAAUGUACUCAGAAAAAGUCAUAGAAGCAAGUGAUACCAAUCUUACUGCUCUUCGAUGCUCCUUUUCCGAAUGAUACUACCAGUCUUGAUACUUUUUGAUUAGCCCUCGUAUUUUUGUAUCAAAAAUCAGUCUGCUCUUGGAGAGGAAAGGUAUUUUAACUCCUAUAGAUGUAAUAAUAACAAUAAUUACAUUAUGUUUACAUAAAUCAUGUAAGUGCUAUAAAAUACAACUAAAGGAUUUAGCAAAUUUGUAAAUGGCAAUUUAGUAAAUUUAAUACAGAAUAUAGGCUACAAAAACUAUAAAUAUUAACAGUGGAAUAGUUUUAUUAAAAGAAAUUUAAAACUAAUUCAAUUUUCAAGAAAUCCAUUAUUAGAUUAUAUUGGUCUGGGGACUUUUAAGUUGAAGAAAAUAGAAUAAUUAAUUAAAAUUAAUAAUUUCAAGAGGAACAUUUUUUUGUAUAGAAUAAACAUGAGUAGUCUUCAUGGAAAUGUGACAAAUGUAUAACAAUUUUUAACUAUUAUUCAAUUAAUUUAAAAUAUAGUUAAUGUUGUUGAUGUGGUACAUCACCUUUUACGAGGGCGUACCCAAAAAAAACCGAACUAUUUUUGUACAAAGUUAUUUAUUUAAUUUUUUUACAAAAAACAUUUAAUCUCCUUCAAAGUACUCUCCGUUGGAGAUAAUGCACUUGUCCAAUCUUUUGUUCCAAUUUUCGAAGCACUUUUUAUUUUUAACUUCAUCAAAGGAAGUCGCAGGGAGACAGGUUGGGUGAAUAGGGUGGAUGGGACACAGUGGUCAUAUCAUUUUUGGUCAAAAACCGCCAUACAGAAAGGGUUGUGUGAGCAGGAGCAUUAUGGUGAUGAAAAAACCAGUCUCCUGACUGCCACAAAUCAGGUCGUUUUCGCCUCAAACUGUUGCGUAAUCUUUUUAACACCUUUAGGUAAAAUGCCUGGUUAAAUGUCUGACCAGGUAGAACAAACU